UACAGAGGAUGCAAGCGUUAUCCGGAAUGAUUGGGCGUAAAGCGUCUGUAGGUGGCUUUUUAAGUCCGCCGUCAAAUCCCAGGGCUCAACUCUGGACAGGCGGUGGAAACUACCAAGCUGGAGUACGGUAGGGGCAACUGGAAUUCUUGGUGUAGCGGUGAAAUGCGUAGAUAUCAAGAGGAACACCUGCGGCGAAGGCGGGUUGCUGGGCUGACACUGACGCUGAGGCGCGAAAGCUAGGGGAGCGAACGGG
rnacentral:rRNA from 1 species